rnacentral:rRNA from 1 species
GACGAACGCUGGCGGCGCGCCUAACACAUGCAAGUCGAACGGAGCUGAGAGAAGCUUGCUUUUCUUAGCUUAGUGGCGAACGGGUGAGUAACGCGUGAGUAACCUGCCCUGGAGUGGGGGUCAACAGUUGGAAACGACUGCUAAUACCGCAUAAGCCCACGAUCCGGCAUCGGAUUGAGGGAAAAGGAUUUAUUCGCUUCAGGAUGGACUCGCGUCCAAUUAGCUAGUUGGUGAGGUAACGGCCCACCAAGGCGACGAUUGGUAGCCGGACUGAGAGGUUGAACGGCCACAUUGGGACUGAGACACGGCCCAGACUCCUACGGGAGGCAGCAGUGGGGGAUAUUGCACAAUGGGGGAAACCCUGAUGCAGCGACGCCGCGUGGAGGAAGAAGGUUUUCGGAUUGUAAACUCCUGUCGUUAGGGACGAUAAUGACGGUACCUAACAAGAAAGCACCGGCUAACUACGUG